rnacentral:lncRNA from 1 species
GGACUUUAACAGGAUGACUGUGAUCAUCAAUAUAAUAGUUCACCUCGAUAAAAUACCAAAAUGAAAUCAAGUAUCAUAUGGGACCCUGAACAUCUUGGAUAUAUGUAAUACUCUACUUCAAGUCGGUAUUUAUAUGAGCUGAAAUGAGUCAGAUCGGUAUUUAUAUGAGCUGAGAUGAAUCAGGUCAGUAUAUAUAUGAGCUGAGAUGAGUCAGGUUGGUAUAUAUAUAAGCUGAUUAUAAUACUUCACCAAAAAUCAAUUUAGGUAGCUUAGAUCGGUGUUUAGAUGAGCUGGGUUAAGCCAAAUCAGCAUUUAGCCUCCAAUUU